AACAAAUUGAAUAAUCUGCCGCAGACAGUAGGUGCUUUAAGCAUAACGUACACAACCUACCGAGGUUAUAUAUAAAAUAUAUAUGUCACUUAGCCUGCGCAGAAAAGCUAAGUGACAUUUUUGUCGUAUGU
rfam:Epulopiscium sp. Nuni2H_MBin003 Nuni2HMBin003_147, whole genome shotgun sequence.